rnacentral:rRNA from 1 species
GACGAACGCUGGCGGCGUGGAUUAGGCAUGCAAGUCGAACGGUAUCAUCCUUUCGGGGGUGAGAGAGUGGCGAACUGGUGAGUAACACGUAGGUUAUCUACCCUCAAGACGGGGACAACCCAGGGAAACUUGGGGCUAAUACCGGAUGUGAGCAACUUUUAGUUGUUUGAAAGGUGGCGUAAGCUGUCGCUUGGGGAUGAGCCUGCGUCCUAUUAGUUAGUUGGUGAGGUAACGGCUCACCUAGGCAAUGAUAGGUAGGCGGCCUUAACGGGUGGUCGCCCACACUGGGAUUGAGAUACGGCCCAGACUCCUACGGGAGGCAGCAGUCGAGAAUAGUCUACAAUGGUCGGAAGACUGAUAGUGCGACGCCGCGUGAACGAUGAAUCCCUUCGGGGUGUAAAGUUCUUUUAUAUGUGAGCAGUGCUUCUUAUAUUAACAGUAUGGGGAGAGAGAUAUUAGCAUAUGAAUAAGCAACGGCUAACUCCCGUGCCCAGCCAGCCCGCGGU